AGGGAAUCUUCCACAAUGGGCGAAAGCCUGAUGGAGCAACGCCGCGUGUGUGAUGAAGGCUUUCGGGUCGUAAAGCACUGUUGUAUGGGAAGAACAGCUAGAAUAGGGAAUGAUUUUAGUUUGACGGUACCAUACCAGAAAGGGACGGCUAAAUACGUGCCAGCAGCCGCGGUAAUACGUAUGUCCCGAGCGUUAUCCGGAUUUAUUGGGCGUAAAGCGAGCGCAGACGGUUGAUUAAGUCUGAUGUGAAAGCCCGGAGCUCAACUCCGGAAUGGCAUUGGAAACUGGUUAACUUGAGUGCAGUAGAGGUAAGUGGAACUCCAUGUGUAGCGGUGGAAUGCGUAGAUAUAUGGAAGAACACCAGUGGCGAAGGCGGCUUACUGGACUGCAACUGACGUUGAGGCUCGAAAGUGUGGGUAGCAAACAGGAUUAGAUACCCUGGUAGUCCACACCGUAAACGAUGAACACUAGGUGUUAGGAGGUUUCCGCCUCUUAGUGCCGAAGCUAACGCAUUAAGUGUUCCGCCUGGGGAGUACGACCGCAAGGUUGAAACUCAAAGGAAUUGACGGGGACCCGCACAAGCGGUGGAGCAUGUGGUUUAAUUCGAAGCAACGCGAAGAACCUUACCAGGUCUUGACAUCCUUUGAAGCUUUUAGAGAUAGAAGUGUUCUCUUCGGAGACAAAGUGACAGGUGGUGCAUGGUCGUCGUCAGCUCGUGUCGUGAGAUGUUGGGUUAAGUCCCGCAACGAGCGCAACCCUUAUUGUUAGUUGCCAGCAUUCAGAUGGGCACUCUAGCGAGACUGCCGGUGACA
rnacentral:rRNA from 1 species